AGCUCCAAUAGCGUAUAUUAAAGUUGUUGCAGUUAAAAAGCUCGUAGUUGGAUUUCGGGAUGGCCCGGCCGGUCUGCCGCAAGGUAUGUUACUGGCCGAGCUGUUCUUCCUCGCAAAGACUGUGUGUGCUCUUAACUGAGUGUGCAUAGGAUCUGCGACGUUUACUUUGAAAAAAUUAGAGUGUUCAAAGCAAGCCAGCGCUUGAAUACAUAAGCAUGGAAUAAUGGAAUAGGACUUUGGUUCUAUUUUGUUGGUUUCUGGAACCGAAGUAAUGAUUAAGAGAGACAGUUGGGGGCAUUCGUAUUUCGUUGUCAGAGGUGAAAUUCUUGGAUUUACGAAAGACGAACUACUGCGAAAGCAUUUGCCAAGAAUGUUUUCAUUAAUCAAGAACGAAAGUAGG
rnacentral:rRNA from 1 species